UACGGAGGGGGCAAGCGUUGUUCGGAUUUACUGGGCGUAAAGGGUGUGUAGGCGGUUGCGCAAGUCUGGUGUGAAAUCUUCACCGCUUAACGGGAAGAGGUCACUGGAAACUGCGUAACUCGAGUGUGGUAGAGGCAAGCGGAAUUCCUGGUGUAGCGGUGGAAUGCGUAGAUAUCAGGAAGAACACCGGUGGCGAAGGCGGCUCGCUGGGCCAGUUCUGACACUCAUCCGCGAAAGCGUGGGGAGCAAACCGG
rnacentral:rRNA from 1 species